AUGAGUGCUAGAUGUAGGGAGCUAUAAGUUCUCUGUAUCGCAGCUAACGCAAUAAGCACUCCGCCUGGGGAGUACGACCGCAAGGUUGAAACUCAAAGGAAUUGACGGGGGCCCGCACAAGCGGUGGAGCAUGUGGUUUAAUUCGAAGCAACGCGAAGAACCUUACCAGGUCUUGACAUACUCGUGCUAUUCCUAGAGAUAGGAAGUUCCUUCGGGACACGGGAUACAGGUGGUGCAUGGCUGUCGUCAG
rnacentral:rRNA from 1 species